UUCAUAUAAAAAAUUACAAGCUAUAUUCCUAGAAUUACCUAAUUGUCUUCAAAUUACAAUGUUUGAAAAUAAUGACAAGUGUUCAAACAAACAUUGCAUCGAACAAUGUUGAGACUCAAGAUUAGAGCCAGGAUUGCAAUACCCAGGAAGACCUGAAUCACCAGCAGCAGCGCGUAACUGCUGCGCAGUUGUCAUGGAACCAUCUGGCGUUUUGAUUUGUAAUCCUGCAACAUAGAUAUACAUAUAAGGAAAUUGCAUAAAUUU